GGGCCCGCACAAGCGGUGGAGCAUGUGGUUUAAUUCGAUGAUACGCGAGGAACCUUACCAGGGCUUAAAUGGGAAAUGACAGGGGCAGAGACGCCCCCUUCUUCGGACUCAUUACAAGGUGCUGCAUGGUUGUCGUCAGCUCGUGCCGUGAGGUGUCAGGUUAAGUCCUAUAACGAGCGCAACCCCUAUCGUUAGUUGCCAGCGAGUAAUGUCGGGAACUCUAACGAAACUGCCAGUGCAAACUGUGAGGAAGGUGGGGAUGACGUCAAAUCAUCACGGCCCUUACGUCCUGGGCUACACACGUGCUACAAUGGCCGGUACAGAGAGCAGCCACUUCGCAAGAAGGAGCGAAUCUAUUAAAACCGGUCUCAGUUCGGAUCGGAGUCUGCAACUCGACUCCGUG
rnacentral:rRNA from 1 species